GAAUGUAUAGCUCAGUGGUAGAGUGCAUGCUUAGCAUGCACGAGGUCCUGGGUUCAAUCCCCAGUACCUCCA
rnacentral:tRNA from 1 species